rnacentral:tRNA from 1 species
GCGGUAGUAGCUCAGUUGGUAGAGCAUCAGCUUCCCAAGCUGAGGGUCACGAGUUCGAUCCUCGCCUACCGCU